rnacentral:lncRNA from 1 species
CAACCAUAGUGGUAGAUCUACAGCUAGCAUAGCAUCAACCAGAGUGGUAGACCUGCAGCUAGCAUAGCAUCAACCAUAGUGGUAGACCUGCAGCUAGCAUCAACCCAUUCCCUUUCUCUUUGUAGAUGUUUUUUCUGGUGACCAUGACCGCUACAUGACCAGGACCGGUGAGGGGAGGAGGUGGUCGGACAGCCCGGUCCUGGUGUACCGUCACGUGGACCAAGAUGGCCAGGAGAGGACCCUGGGUCUGGAGACACCCGGGUGGCAGCGUGGUGGGGACAGAGACAGUCUCCAUGCCUUGGUUAACACCCUCAAUGCCCAGCACCAGGCCAGACUGGACAGCUUCAGCAGGGACAUGGCCAGGGUGGACAUGGCCAGGGUGGACAGCCUCCUCACCCAGUCCUCCCAGACCCAUGCCAGGCUGGCUAAGCUGAUGCCCGCUGCCCUGCUGGAGUCUCGGUUCCGCCAGGCGCCCCGUGGGCAUGGAGCCGUCAGCCUGUUGGCACAGCCGGAGCAGGAGGUACGGGUGGAGAAUGCUCCAGUCUCAGCACGCUAUAUCGUCACCGUGGUGAGUAGAGUGUAGAUAUAUCCCACCUACACUCUGAGAUGUAUAGAUGGGUCAUUCCACCAGUGCCUUUUCAGAUGUGUAACUUGGUAAAAAAUAAAGAAAAACAACAACAUUUGAUUUCACCUAAUUUUAACAUUCUGUCAUAAAGAGAUGCUCAACUUCAUAAAAUCAUAUUUUCCCAUUUCAAAAGGUUAAAUAAAC